AAGGAGUCAAAGGGAAACAUGAUGUUACCUUCCUUUUAAGGGCACAUUCCAGAAGUUGCACACACCACUUACGUCCACAUCCCUUUGACCAGCUCAUUAGUUAUACAACUUAACUGGGUGCCCCUGACUCAGGGUCUCUCAGAAGGCUGCAAUCAAGGUAUUGACCAGGCCAUAAAUGCAAACAAAUAAAUUCCUAUUACUAUAAAAGUGUGGGCCAACCCUUAAUCAGUGACAUUACUAAGAACUGUGAAAUGUUUACACAUUUGACCCUUCAACAGCAUGGGUUUGAACUUUGUGGAUCCACUUAAUUUUGGAUUUUCUUCUGCCUCUGCUACCCCGAGACAGCAAGACCAACUCCUCUUCUUCCUCCUCCUCCUCUACCUAUCCAACAUGACGAUGAUGAGGAUGAAGAACUUUAUGACAAUCUACUUGCACUUAAUAAAUAGUAAAUAUAUUUUCUCUUCUUUACAAUUUUCUUAAUAACAUUUUCUUUUCUCUAGCUUACUUGAUUGUAAGAAUACAAUAUAUAAUACAUAUACAAAAUGUGUGUUAAUCACCUGUUACGUUAUUGAUAAGGCUUCUGGUCAGCAGGAGGCAAUUCGUAGUUAAGUUUUUGGGGAGUCACAACUUAUAUGCUAAUUUUGUAUUGUGGGGGAGGGAGGUCAGGGCUCCUAAUCCCUGCACUGUCCAAGUAUCCAUUGUAUAGCGCAACUCCUAUGUCUCAGUGCCUGAAUGGCAGUGGAGUGCUUCAGACUAAUGCAUCCUUUGAUAAUAACUGUUUCUUCUUCUUCUUCUUCUUCUUCUUUUUCUUCUUCUUCUUCUUCUUCUUCUUCUUCUUCUUC
rnacentral:lncRNA from 1 species